UAAGCAUAUCAAUAAGCGGAGGAAAAGAAACUAACAAGGAUUCCCCCAGUAACGGCGAGUGAAGAGGGAACAGCCCAAAUUUGUAAUCUGGCCCUUUCAGGGUCCGAGUUGUAAUCUCGAGAACUGUUUUCCGUGCUGGACCGCGUACAAGUCUGUUGGAAUAUAGCUUCAUAGAGGGUGAGAAUCCCGUACAUGACGCGGACUACCAGUACACUGUGAUACAGUCUCUAAGAGUCGAGUUGUUUGGGAAUGCAGCUCAAAAUGGGUGGUAAAUUCCAUCUAAGGCUAAAUAUUGGCGAGAGACCGAUAGCGAACAAGUACCGUGAGGGAAAGAUGAAAAGCACUUUGGAAAGAGAGUUAACAGUACGUGAAAUUGUUGAAAGGGAAACGCUUGAAGUCAGUCUUGUACUUUGUUGUUCAGCCCUCGGGUGUAUUCAACUUUGAACAGGCCAGCAUCAGUUUUAGAUGUCGGAUAAGGGUAGAGGAAACGUAGCAGUCUCGGCUGUGUUAUAGUCCUUUACUUGAUACGACGUCCGGGACUGAGGAACGCAGUGAGCCUUUUGGCGGGUCUUCGGACCUUCUCACUAUGGAUGCUGGCGUAAUGGCUUUAAACGACCCGUCUUGAAACACGGACCAAGGAGUCUAACAUGCUUGCGAGUGUUUGGGUGUCAAACCCGGGCGCGUAAUGAAAGUGAAUGUAGGUGGGAAUCGUAAGAUGCACCAUCGACCGGUCCGGAUUUUUAAUGAUGGAUCUGAGUAAGAGCAAGUAUGUUGGGACCCGAAAGAUGGUGAACUAUGCCUGAAUAGGGCGAAGCCAGAGGAAACUCUGGUGGAGGCUCGUAGCGGUUCUGACGUAGAUCGAAUGUGCGUCAAAUAGGAAGGUGGUAACAUCCUCCUAGUAGUGCCUCAACGGUACUGCAACACUUUCAAAUUGCGGGAAAGUCCUAAAGCCCCUCACUACCAAGCGCUGGUCGAAAGACUUGUGUGGCCGAGCUAGCAGCCCUGGAAAUGGUAACAAAGUGAGGCGGAUAGCACAAUGGAUCAUCCGCAGCGAACUCCUAAAACUAUGAAAGUCAAGGAGAGCGUUCAGAGACUAAAUGUUAGUGGGUCACUCUGUGGCUUAAGAUAUAGUCCAACAAUCAUCGAAAGGUGUAUUGGUGAAUGGCAAAUCGAUCGUCGAAUUUGGGUAUAGGGGCGAAAGACUAAUCGAACCAUUUGUGGAGAAUAGCUACUGGUGGUUAAGAAGCCUGAAAAAGGCUUAGUGACUUUGAGGGUCGCUACACUGUCAAAUUGCGGGGACUUUCUUAGAGCCUUUACUACCGCCUUGCCUGGAGAAAUCCGGCGUGGCACCAGAGGGUAAUGCCUUUGGGUAUGGUAACAAUGUAAAGGAUUGGAUAAUCCGCAGCCAAGUCCUUCGAUGGAUGCAGUUCACAGACUAAAUGAUGGUGGGUGCAAUCAUGCACUUAAGAUAUAGUCGGUCCUACUGCGAAAGCAGUCCAAUAGAAUAAUCCUUACAUACCCUCAAUCUCGUUUGUAAGGUGAAGCUCUUGGGAGUUGACGUCCAACUCGGGGUAAAACGCUAGAGCGUCC
rnacentral:rRNA from 1 species